GGGGGCCGCAGGGGAGGACGGCAUUGGGCUAGGGGGCCGCAGGGGAGGACAGUAUUGGGCUAGGGGGGCCGCAGGGGAGGACAGCGUUGGGCUAGGGGGCCGCAGGGGAAGACAGUGUUGGGCUGGGGGGCCACAGGGGAGGACGGCGUUAGGCUAGGGGGCCGCAGGGGAGGACGGCAUUAGGCUAGGGGGCCGCAGGGGAGGACAGCAUUGGGCUAGGGGGCCGCAGGGGAGGACAGCAUUGGGCUAGGGGGCCGCAGGGGAGGACAGUGGUGGGCUAGGGGGCCGCAGGGGAGGACGGCGUUGGGCUGGAGUCUGCAGGGGAGGACGGCGUUAGGCUAGGGGGGUUUAGGGUUUUAGGGUUUUAGGGUUUUAGGGUUUUAGGGUUUUACUU
rnacentral:lncRNA from 1 species